rnacentral:rRNA from 1 species
ACGGGAGGCAGCAGUGGGGGAUAUUGCACAAUGGGGGAAGCCCUGAUGCAGCAAUGCCGCGUGAGGGAAGACGGUCUUCGGAUUGUAAACCUAAGUAGUCAGGGACGAAACAAAUGACGUUACCUGAAGAGUAAGCUCCGGCUAACUACGUGCCAGCAGCCGCGGUAAUACGUAGGGAGCGAGCGUUGUCCGGAUUUACUGGGUGUAAAGGGUGCGUAGGCGGGUCUGCAAGUCAGGCGUGAAAUACCGGGGCUUAACUCCGGAGCUGCGCUUGAAACUGUGGAUCUUGAGUGAAGUAGAGGCAGGCGGAAUUCCCAGUGUAGCGGUGAAAUGCGUAGAUAUUGGGAGGAACACCAGUGGCGAAGGCGGCCUGCUGGGCUUUAACUGACGCUGAGGCACGAAAGUAUGAGGAGCAAACAGGAUUAGAUACCCUGGUA